GAUGAACGCUGGCGGCGUGCCUAAUACAUGCCAGUCGAGCGAACAGACGAGGAGCUUGCUCCUCUGACGUUAGCGGCGGACGGGUGAGUAACACGUGGAUAACCUACCUAUAAGACUGGGAUAACUUCGGGAAACCGGAGCUAAUACCGGAUAAUAUAUUGAACCGCAUGGUUCAAUAGUGAAAGACGGUUUUGCUGUCACUUAUAGAUGGAUCCGCGCCGCAUUAGCUAGUUGGUAAGGUAACGGCUUACCAAGGCGACGAUGCGUAGCCGACCUGAGAGGGUGAUCGGCCAAACUGGAACUGAGACACGGUCCAGACUCCUACGGGAGGCAGCAGGAGGGAAUCUUCCGCAAUGGGCGAAAGCCUGACGGAGCAACGGCGCGUGAGUGAUGAAGGUCUUCGGAUCGUAAAACUCUGUUAUUAGGGAAGAACAAAUGUGUAAGUAACUAUGCACGUCUUGACGGUACCUAAUCAGAAAGCCACGGCUAACUACGUG
rnacentral:rRNA from 1 species